GCUUUUAGAUGGCGGUGUAAUGAGUAUUUACAAUUAAAAGCGUCUUUUUGUGAAUAGACCGCUUAAAUAUUUAAAAUCGCCUCAAAUUUAAUUGUUUGUUUGCCGGACAUUUGAUUUCAGAUCGUUUUCCAUUGGAAAUUGGUAAGUUUGAAUGAGAAAAAAUUUGUUUUGUUCUGCCGUCUGGAAAUAACGAUUCUUGUUUUGUUUUUUUUUCUAGGUCACAACUCGAAGGGAAUCUCCGAAAAAGGAUGAAACCAUUGGAUAAAUAUGGUUAUGAGAGGUAAUGUGGUUGUUUUUGGGCGGCUAUCAGAAUCCGGAAGAUGGAUGAAAAAGGUGCACCAGCCGUCGGCGUACAUACAUAUAGAAUUUCGAAGAAAAAAACAUUCAGAGUAAGAGGAAGCAGCAACAAGAAGUUAAAAUAAUAUUUUCCCUCGGUUUCGUAUUUUAGCCAACCGGAAACCCCCUGACUCAUUAUUUUCCAUCUUCAGAGGGCCGAUUGUCCGGAAGGCGGUUAAUGGCGCUAAGAUUGGUUUUGGAUAGUUUCUGUUCCGAGUGGCUGCCGGAGAAAAGCUAUUGAAGGUGCUUGGAAAUUAUUCAAUGCACUAAUUCAGAGCAGAGGAGGAAGAGCUUUUUUAUCGGGCCAGGUGAGAUUCCAUGAUCCCUACUUCAAUCCAUGCUAGAGCGUGCGGAAGCAAAUCCGUACUGGAUGUUGAGGCCGAUCGAGAUGAAAAUUGCGGAAACCAAGACGAACAGCCGUAUAGCCCUGAAUUUUUUGCCUAAUAUCUAGGCUGCUACUGCCUAUUCCUAUAUUUGCCAUGAAAAGGUAGGAAAAAAAACUCGUAGGAGUGUAAAGUGUCUCAAGCUUUGUAUACAAUAGU